GCUUGCGUCUUUGUGACUGCUAAUCUCCAAGCUUCAUCAGAGUGUAAAUUGAUAGCUUCGAAAGAGAUUAGCAGCCACUGCAUAGAAUUUGUCACAUUGAAAGAUUUUUAAGCUAUCUUCCGUUUAUGCUCUUUGGUUGUAGGUUACAACUGUUUCGUAAAGGAAAGAAGGAUACAUCAAUAGGAGAGUUGAACAAGUUUUAUGUUGAUAUCUGCAAAUCAACAUUGAUACCACCAAAGGUAUAAUGGAACUUUCAUGCAUGUGUACACUGCUAGGGAAUUCUAAAACUCCCGAGAUGAUAAAUUAAGGAGAGUGACGUUGCAAGUAGAUGAAGCCGACAUCAGUUUUGCAUUGCAGUGGCAGCAGCGGUGAAGAUUUGAAUGGUUGUAUUCCGUGGGGUAGCCUACUCUGAUUUGCACAUAAUAAACCAGCAGCAGCCCAUCCUCAAGUGCAACACGCUUGUAUUCAGGGGUACACGACUGUAACCACCACUAAUAAUGUAGCUAGCUAAGAACAAAGCUACAACUAUAGCUAUAGCGAGGAAUUAAAGCUUGCAAGAGAUCUGUGCUCCCACUCUCAUGCUGAGAGGAUGGAAAGCCAGCCCAUUCAACAACUUUUUCAAGAAAGGAAAUGACGCUUUGUCCUAUGUCUGAUGAUGAAUUCGAUAUGCCGUAGUAGAUUUGGCCUUACUAUGUUUAUUAUAUAUCAUCUACUUUUAUUUAUAGAGUCCAUCUGUAUAGUUAGUUCAGUUUUACUUUGUAAAUUAAACAUUUACUCCAAAAACAUACACAAAUCAAAUUAGUAUUUGGUUA
rnacentral:lncRNA from 1 species